AGCGUUAAUUCGUAAUAAUUCGAAUUCGAAGGUGAUUCCGGGGAUUUUAGGGUGCGCUGAAGACGAUGCUAUAAUUUAAAAUUGAGUCCGACGUUUCGUUUUAAUUAGAAGGCAUCUUCAGAGCACUAAUUUGUAAUAAUUGUAAUUUGAAGGAGAUUUCGGGGGUUUUUAGGUGCGCUAAAAACGAUGCAAUGAUUUAAAAUUGUAUCCGACGUUUCGUUUUACUAAGAAGCCAUCCUCAGGGCACUUAUUCAUAAUAAUUAUAAUUUGAAGGUGGUUCCGGGGGUUUUGAGAAAGUCAUCUUCAGAGCACUAAUUCGUAAAAAUUAGAAUUUGAAGGUGGUUCCGAGGGUUUUGAGGUUCGUUUUAGCAGGAAGCCAUCUUCAGAGCAUUAAUUCGUAAUAACUCGAAUUCGAAGGUGGUUCCGAGGGUUUUAAGGAGGAAGCCAUCUUCAGGGCCCUAAUUCAUAAUAAUAGGGAUUUGAAGGUUAUUCCGUGGGUUUUAAGGUGCGCUGAAGAAGAUGCAACGAUUUAAAAUUAUAUCCGACGUUUUUUUGCGCUGAAGACAAUGCAAAGAUUUAAAAUUGUGUCCGACGUUUCGUUUUAACAGGAAGCCAUCUUCAGAGCACUAAUUCUUAACAAUUGGAAUUUGAAGGUGGUUCCGGGAGUUUUGGUAAGAAGCCAUCUUCAGAGCCCUAAUCCAUAAUAAAAGGAAUUUGAAGGUUAUUCCGGAGGU